GACGAACGCUGGCGGCGUGCCUAAUACAUGCAAGUCGAACGAGUGGCGGACGGGUGAGUAACACGUGGGAACCUACCCAUCAGAGGGGGAUAACUACUGGAAACGGUGGCUAAUACCGCAUACUAUCGGAUGCACCCAUAGGGGAUUGGCUAGUAGGUGGGGUAAAGGCUCACCUAGGCGACGAUCUCUAGCUGGUCUGAGAGGAUGAUCAGCCACCCUUGGACUGGGACACGCCCCAGACUCCUACGGGAGGUAGCAGUGGAGAAUAUUGCACAAUGGGCGAAAGCCUGAUGCAGCCAUGGGGCGUGGAUGAAUAGGGCCGUAGGUGUGUAAAGUACUUUCAGCGGGGAGGCGUUACCCGCAGAAGAAGCACCGGCUAACUCCGUGCCAGCAGCCGCGGUAAUAC
rnacentral:rRNA from 1 species